GCCGAAAAAGCUAUAAAGCAUUGGUUUUGUAAACCAAAGAAUAAGAAUCCAAACUUCUUUUUCGGCU
rnacentral:tRNA from 1 species